CCCGGGGUGUCAGGGGGUCUGACAGGGGUCUGUGCACCCCAAACCUGAGCUGGGCUCCUUCCCAAUCCCAUUCCUGACCCCAUCCCACCCCAGGGCUACACGCUGGUGGAGUACGAGACCUACAAGGAGGCACAGGCAGCCAUGGAGGGGCUCAACGGGCAGGAGCUGAUGGGGCAGCCGGUCAGCGUGGACUGGUGCUUCGUCAGGGGCCCCCCCAAGGGCAAGAGGAGGGGCGGGCGCCGGCGGAGCCGCAGUCCGGACCGGCGCCGCCGAUGAUGGAUCCAGACCUCCACCCCUUUGUGUCCCACCUCCAAACUGGGGGGAAACUGGGAAAAAACUGGGCUUUGUACACGGCCUCGAGGAGCCAAAGCAGCUCCAUCCCCUGGGGGAAUUCGAGUUUUAUGGAAUUUUAUUGUUUUCAAAGGACAAGUAGGAGGGAAGCAGCAGUUUCUGAGGGUUGGGGGGGAUUUCCCUUGGAUUUGGGGGAUCCCUCCCCACCCCCCAUCCCAGAACAUCCCAGGAGUUUUCUUUUCCACGUCCCAGACAAACCUAAACCUCCCAUGGUAUUUAUCCCACCUGGAAAUUCCUUGUUUUGUGUCAAAUAACAAGAUUUUGUCUAAGUUUGU